GCGCCAUCAGACGACGUGCCAGCAGCCGCGGUAAUACGUAGGGUGCGAGCGUUGUCCGGAUUUAUUGGGCGUAAAGGGCUCGUAGGUGGUUGAUCGCGUCGGAAGUGUAAUCUUGGGGCUUAACCCUGAGCGUGCUUUCGAUACGGGUUGACUUUGAGGAAGGUAGGGGAGAAUGGAAUUCCUGGUGGAGCGGUGGAAUGCGCAGAUAUCAGGAGGAACACCAGUGGCGAAGGCGGUUCUCUGGGCCUUUCCUGACGCUGAGGAGCGAAAGCGUGGGGAGCGAACAGGCUUAGAUACCCCUGGUAGUCCACGCUGUAAACGGUGGGUACUAGGUGUGGGGUCCAUUCCACGGGUUCCGUGCCGUAGCUAACGCUUUAAGUACCCCGCCUGGGGAGUACGGCCGCAAGGCUA
rnacentral:rRNA from 1 species